CAGUCGCCGCGGGAAUACGAAGGGGGCUAGCGUUGCUCGGAAUGACUGGGCGUAAAGGGCGCGUAGGCGGUCACGAUAGUCAGAUGUGAAAUUCCUGGGCUUAACCUGGGGACUGCAUUUGAUACUGUGUGGCUUGAGUGUGGAAGAGGGUCGUGGAAUUCCCAGUGUAGAGGUGAAAUUCGUAGAUAUUGGGAAGAACACCGGUGGCGAAGGCGGCGACCUGGUCCAUAACUGACGCUGAGGCGCGAAAGCGUGGGGAGCAAACAGGAUUAGAUACCCCCGUAGUCCCUGUCUCUUAUAC
rnacentral:rRNA from 1 species